AGUUUGAUCCUGGCUCAGAUCGAACGCUGGCGGAAUGCUUUACACAUGCAAGUCGAACGGCAGCACGGGAGCUUGCUCCUGGUGGCGAGUGGCGAACGGGUGAGUAAUAUAUCGGAACGUAUCCAAUAAUGGGGGAUAACUAAGCGAAAGCUUGGCUAAUACCGCAUACGCCCUGAGGGGGAAAGCUAGGGAUCUUCGGACCUGGCGUUGAUGGAGCGGCCGAUAUCUGAUUAGCUAGUUGGUGGGGUAAAGGCCCACCAAGGCGACGAUCAGUAGCUGGUCUGAGAGGACGACCAGCCACACUGGAACUGAGACACGGUCCAGACUCCUACGGGAGGCAGCAGUGGGGAAUUUUGGACAAUGGGCGCAAGCCUGAUCCAGCCAUUCCGCGUGAGUGAAGAAGGCCUUCGGGUUGUAAAGCUCUUUCGCAAGGGAAGAAAGAUUACGCUCUAACAUAGCGUGAUUAUGACGGUACCUUGAUAAGAAGCACCGGCUAACUACGUGCCAGCAGCCGCGGUAAUACGUAGGGUGCGAGCGUUAAUCGGAAUUACUGGGCGUAAAGCGUGCGCA
rnacentral:rRNA from 1 species